rnacentral:rRNA from 1 species
CAAUAGCGUAUAUUAAAGUUGUUGCAGUUAAAAAGCUCGUAGUUGGAUUUGUGGCGUACGGUGUGUUCCGGGCACUUGUUGUCUGAGUAACCUGCUGUUGCCAUCCUUGGGUGGAACCUGUGUGGCAUUAGGUUGUCGUGCAGGGGAUGCCCAUCAUUUACUGUGAAAAAAUUAGAGUGUCCAAAGCAGGCUUAUGCCGUUGAAUAUAUUAGCAUGGAAUAAUGAGAUAGGACUUUUUUGCUAUUUUGUUGGUUUGCGCAAGAAGGUAAUGAUUAAUAGGGACAGUUGGGGGUAUUCGUAUUCCAUUGUCAGAGGUGAAAUUCUUGGAUUUUUGGUAGACGAACUACUGCGAAAGCAUUUACCAAGGAUGUUUUCAUUAA